UCAGCCAACAUCUGUUGAUAUCAGGAGCAGCUGAACACUCCGUCCACCUCUCAACAGCAGCGCUUAUAUUCUAGAGGAGAAAAAAAGAAAGGAAGAAAGAAAGAAAAAGGAAAAAGGAUGGUAGUAGCAGCAGCUUGUUCCACAGUCAAAGCAGAAUCUUUCAACAAGCUGAUCAGCUUCGGCAGAAAAGGGCUGUGGCUGGAUGAUACGCUGCCUUGAUUUAAAUAAAACACUGAAUGGGCAAAGUGAGCACGAGAUCCCUUGAAGGUCUUUAGUGCUGCUUGCUGACAACCUAAGAGAUGCCAAACCCCUCCAGGACUAAGCAGCGAGCCAUUUAAUGAAGAGUGAGAUGUUGCCAGUUUCAUGGCAAGCAAGCAGAGAAUCCUAUGAGCAUUCACUUGAAGUCUGACUUGGUGAAGCCCGCAAAUAGGGCUGCCUACUCAAUGAAAACCAGACCAUGUUUCUUGAAAUCAGUGGAUAUAUUUGGAAGCAGGACUAGCCUCAGUAUGCUUAUCUGUAAAAGGGGAACAUUGUGGGAUCACCUGUGUAGGAUUUUUUUUUAAAAAGAGGGAACAGAACAUGGCUGGUUGUUACCUUCAUGGCUUAGGUCCAAACUAUCAGAAAGACCCAUACCAACCUGCAAGGGUCCUAAGAUCUACAGGGAAAGGCUUCUUCUCCGUCCUGCCACCAUCACAGACUCACUUGGGUAUUCAGAGAUGGAACAAGAGCCACAGCAAUGGCAAAGAAUGCAAGAUAGAUAAGGAAUGUUUUGCUUGGCUUUCUUCUGGGUCACGGAGGCCAGCAUGUUUCACCAUCCACCAGAUCCUCCUCCCUGCACCAUUUAUUUUAGGCUGUGCAAUAAAAUUAACCCUUUGUUUAACCAGCCAACAACUUACUUACUUCCUAUGGGGCAACUUUCCCAGGGAUUCAAGGGAUUGCUAUAAAUUAUUACAUUCCCUACAGCAACUCACAUGUUGCCACUGCUGUUAACUUUGUUAUUCAAAGUACUUUCAAAUUAUAUCUGUAUGUGCUUCAGAUCCCAUGCUUUUUUUAACUAAAAAAAAAUCUUAUGAUAUCUUCAAGAUAAAGACACUUUGUUUGGCAUAAUUGGUCAAUUAUGUUUCAAUCUACAAAGACUAUCCCAAAUAAAAUUUGUUCCUCUGUAAGA